GAGCGCGGCGGCAGCGGGCGGCGGGAGCAUGAUGAAACGCAACGAAACGGCCGGAGGCUCCGAGGGAGGGAGAGGAGGGAAGGCCAAUAGCGGGAACGGUUCGGGGAAAGAGAAAAGCCGCGCACGCUGCAACUUUUUUCUUGGUUUUGCGUGUUCGCACAAGGAUUUCAGCCGGUGUUUGCACAGUGCAGCCCUAAGUGGGGCUCGCUCUUCUGGGAUCCGGAUCACAUGGGAUUUUUGUAUGGUCCGCUUUUUUCUCCAGUUUCCAGCCCAUCCCUUCUGCUACGGCAGUCCCAGGGGCACACAGCGGCAAUUUGCUGUGCACUGCGUGUCUGUCUGUGUGUGCAUCGCUCAGCACCGUCCCGAGCUGUAAAACCCCCACUCGGAAGCCUCUACACGGCGAGGGAAAUUAAUGUCUUAUUAAGACAAAGUGUGUGUGAAGCAUAAUCGUCAAGUAGUAAAACAUUCCUUUGGUGACGUGUUUUCCUUCCACCUUGGCUCUCUGUGACACACUUCUGCACAAAGGAAGGUUCAUCAGCACAGACGUGCAGAGGUUGGCCACCAUCACCGGUUCCUGCUUUCUGAUGCCACAUCACUUAGGAACAUGUUAAAGAAAACAACAGCACUCAGCAUAGUUGUCAUUUGUAUAAUUUUUGUCUACAUACUGCAGCACUGAGAAUGUGAUUGCCUACAGUGCACAACUAUGAUCAACUCCCUUUAAAAACAAUCAAGGAAAAGGAACCAUGUGUCCAACAACGAAAGUCUGCAUGAGGUGAAGAGGAGUUACCUGUUGGGAUAUCCUGAGCCAUGAGCGCCUCUGUGCACUCACGUGAGGGACUGUGUUUCUGUUGUGCCACUGAAGGAGUACCCGGGCUCACACGCCAGAGGUGUCUGCAGUUCAGGCUCUCUUUAACACCACUUCUCUCUCCUCUUUCCAUUCUGGUAGCAAAGGGUGCUGAGUAUCAAUAAAAAGUCCUACAACACACAUUUUA